UUUUUCUCUUUCACCUCGUGCCGGGAAGCCGAAAUCCCACACCAGGCCCCCAAGAAAAUGAAAAGAAUUCAACGUCACCACUAAAAUCUCUGUUGUCUCUAUUACCAAUCAUCCCUCGCUCUCUCUGAAUCGGGAUUUUUCCGAAGGAAUGUGUGUCCAUUAAGCCUGAUUCUGAUUUUCCUCUCUGCCACACUCUGUAUUCUUCGUUUUGAGAAACAUAAAUUCGAUGUCGGAGACAACAAUUUCCUACAAUCCGACCAAGGUUUGUUCUGCUAUUGAUUUGGGGUUCUGGACUCUCUCCAUGACAUGGAUUGCAACCAUCUACGGCAACAUCCCCUGUAGAAAACUAUCACCAACACCCCAGCUCCAGUGCACCGUCUUUGAUCUUGCUGGUUGAGCUGUCAAUGGUGUUGUUAUUGCGACUGAGAAGAAAUUACCACCGAUCUUGGUAGAUGAGACAUCUGUGCUCUAUGAUUACAUAGAAGCCUAUCACUAUCUGAUUUUCUAAAGGACAUCAGAUAUCCCCAUGGAAAAAGUUGACAGUUAGGGGGGCCAGAAGGGCAAAAUCCUUCAGAUACUUGAGACAACUGUUGAGCAAGUUUUGAUAGCCUAAAUGAGUUCAGAGCAGCUAAUUUAUUUUGCUACUUAUCAGCAAAAACAGUGUUGCCUGCCACUUUCUAUUUUAUAUUAUACAUUAAAAAGACAACUUCCAUGAUCCCAGUGGGAAUGCUAUCAAAAUACAAGGGUUGAUAACUGUAGCUGGAUUAUUCCAA